rnacentral:rRNA from 1 species
UGAGGAAUAUUGCACAAUGGGCGCAAGCCUGAUGCAGCGACGCCGCGUGGGUGAUGAAGGCUUUCGGGUCGUAAAGCCCUUUUCUAGGUGACGAGUAAGGACGGUAGCCUAGGAAUAAGUGUCGGCUAACUACGUGCCAGCAGCCGCGGUAAAACGUAGGACACAAGCGUUAUCCGGAGUUACUGGGCGUAAAGAGCGCGUAGGCGGUUUGUUAAGUCUGCUAUGAAAGCACCUGGCUAAACUGGGUGAGGCUGGCGGAUACUGGCAAGCUCGAGUGAGACAGAGGCAGAUGGAAUUCCGCGUGUAGUGGUGAAAUGCGUAGAGAUGCGGAGGAACACCAGUGGCGAAGGCGGUCUGCUGGGUCUCAACUGACGCUGAGGCGCGAAAGCGUGGGUAGCGAACGGG